ACAAGAGGUGGUGGCUUCGCACCCCGCUGACGAGCGGCGGACGCCGUGAUGUAAUGCAUAGGAAAUUGCCCAGUAGUGGGGGAUAGCCCGGGGAAACCCGGAUUAAUACCGCAUACGUCCUUCGGGAGAAAGCAGGGGAUCUUCGGACCUUGCGCUAUUGGAUGUGCCUAUGUCGGAUUAGCUAGUUGGUGGGGUAAAGGCCUACCAAGGCGACGAUCCGUAGCUGGUCUGAGAGGAUGAUCAGCCACAUCGGGACUGAGACACGGCCCGAACUCCUACGGGAGGCAGCAGUGGGGAAUAUUGGACAAUGGGGGCAACCCUGAUCCAGCCAUGCCGCGUGUGUGAAGAAGGCUUUCGGGUUGUAAAGCACUUUCAGUGAGGAGGAAAACCUUAUGGUUAAUACCCAUGAGGCUUGACGUUACUCACAGAAGAAGCACCGGCUAACUCCGUGCCAGCAGCCGCGGUAAUACGGAGGGUGCAAGCGUUAAUCGGAAUUACUGGGCGUAAAGCGCGCGUAGGUGGUUUGAUAAGCGAGAUGUGAAAGCCCCGGGCUUAACCUGGGAACGGCAUUUCGAACUGUCAGGCUAGAGUAUGGUAGAGGGUAGUGGAAUUUCCUGUGUAGCGGUGAAAUGCGUAGAUAUAGGAAGGAACACCAGUGGCGAAGGCGGCUACCUGGACCAAUAC
rnacentral:rRNA from 1 species